CAAAAGAAAAAAGGAAACAAAAGCUAAUCUAAUGACCUUUCGUCAUCUCUCUGUGAUGUCUCACCUUACUCAACCAAAAAAUUCUAACACCCAAUUUUUCCAGAGUCAAACCCCAUAACCUCCUAGCACAUACGAAGCCGUCAUCGACUACAGUGCAUGCCGGCGCCUCCGAUUCGUCUGACAGCAAUGUCCCGGGCAACUUCUUUGCAAACAACCCUUUUUCUUGCCCUGUUGAUAGAUUGAGACUACAAACUUCGUGCCAUUAUCAACGGACUCGAGCAUGCUCUAAAUCAUUAGAAAAUCGAACAACAAGGUGAGGUUUUUCCCUAAUAGUUGCACUCCCAACACACAAUCUUUUAUUCACUUUUUCUUCUUUUGCAUGUCUUUUCUCUUUUGGUAGCUUUUCUUUCAUUAAUUUGAUUAAGUGAAGUUUUGGGUUUUGAAAAGAUUGAGUUCAUAAGUUGAUGUUUUGAGUGUGAAUAUGUGGAGUCCAAACAUACUUUGUGACAAGGUGGAAUCCUGAUUUUUGAAAUAAGUCAUUUAUGUUGUUACUAUUAUUAUCACAUUUUUGUUAUUAAAAAGUUAAAUUAAUAAAAAGUUACCCUUAUUCCUUUCUUUCUAUCUGUUUGCAAAGAAAAUAAAGAAAUUUUUUAAACAUUGUUCUCUCACCAUGAGUGUUGUUGCAUGUAGAAGUGAUCACAAAAGAUAGAUAUUACAUUAUUUGUGUCUACUAUUAAUGAUUUUUUGUUAUAUGUAUUGUAAACAUACUGAGUGAAACAUUGACCAAGUGAUAAAGAAUUCAGAAUAAAAUUUACUGCAUACAAAGGACGGGUACACAUUUAAAUUAAUAUAUGCUUUGUGCCUUUUUUUUAGUAACUAUGUAAAAACAGAUAAAUUACAUAUAACCCAAAUAAUAAAAUCUAUCAUAAUAAAUUAAAUAUCUAUGAUAAGUCUCUCUUUUUUUUUUAAGGUGAUGUGUUGAUUUUAGAUAUAAUAAUUUCUAAAUAUAGUGCCGAUGUGGAAGAUGAAAUUGUGCUAAUUGAUCACCGUGACAAUUGUAUCAAGCUUAAAAUGAAAAUCCGAUAAAGAAAAAUCUGGAUACCUUCACAUGAGGUAGAAAAGUUAUUUGCUUUCUAUAACUUCAAAAGCAUGGUGUGGAUAUACUUAAUGUAUGUCACAAGUGGAAUAUUUUUUAUGCCUCCUGUGAAUAAGCAAAAUGAUCCAAUCUAUGUGCAUUUUUAUGAAUGUCAUUAUGUUAAAGAUAUUAUUGGGAUAUAUUUGUUAAAAGUUAUUCAAGAUAAGUUAGGGUUAAACUACUUUGAUGCAUUGGAGGAUGUUGCUUAUAGAAGAUAAUGUGAUACAUGGGAAUAUGAAAAGUCCUGGUGUGCAAAAAAUUGUCAAAAACAAUUCAAAAGAAAGUACUGUCCAGAAUAGAUCAACAACAAAAAAAGAGGCUAUAUUGUUCUACAUCAUUGCAAGACAUUGACUAAGUAUGAUGUCAAGGCUGAUCAAUUUGUAAGUUUGUAUAGUGAUAGUUUCAUACUUAUUGGUUACUUUAAUUUUUUUAUGGAAUUAAUUGUUAGUUUUUUUUUACACAGUAUAUCCCGUAUCACUUUGCUAAGUUACUACUUGAUAGUAGACGAUUAGAAAAUUGAAAGUUUGUUGUUGAGGACUCAAAGAUUACUACAAAUUUUGGAAUGAAU